rnacentral:rRNA from 2 species
GGGGAAUUUUGGACAAUGGGGGCAACCCUGAUCCAGCCAUGCCGCGUGAGUGAAGAAGGCCUUCGAGUUGUAAAGCUCUUUCGGCCGGGAAGAAAUCGUGCAGGCUAAUACCCUGUAUGGAUGACGGUACCGGAAUAAGAAGCACCGGCUAACUACGUGCCAGCAGCCGCGGUAAUACGAAGGGGGCUAGCGUUGCUCGGAAUCACUGGGCGUAAAGCGCACGUAGGCGGAUCGUUAAGUCAGGGGUGAAAUCCUGGGGCUCAACCUCAGAACUGCCCUUGAUACUGGCGAUCUCGAGUUCGAGAGAGGUUGGUGGAACUCCGAGUGUAGGGGUGAAAUUCGUAGAUAUUCGGAAGAACACCAGUGGCGAAGGCGGCCAACUGGCUCGAUACUGACGCUGAGGUGCGAAAGCGUGGGGAGCAAACA